rnacentral:rRNA from 1 species
AGUAUUCCUUCGGGGAUACGAGAGUGGCGAACGGGUGAGUAACACGUAGGUGAUCUACCCUCAAAUGGGGGACAACCCAGGGAAACUUGGGCUAAUACCGCAUGAGAGCAUCAGAGAUGAUGUUUAAAAGGUGGCUUUCGGGCUGCCGUUUGGGGAUGAGCCUGCGCUCUAUUAGUUAGUUGGUGAGGUAAUGGCUUACCAAGGCGAUGAUAGAUAGGCGGCCUUAACGGGUGGUCGCCCACACUGGGAUUGAGAUACGGCCCAGACUCCUACGGGAGGCAGCAGUCGAGAAUAGUCUACAAUGGACGAAAGUCUGAUAGUGCGACGCCGCGUGAACGAAGAAGCCCUUCGGGGUGUAAAGUUCUUUUAUAUGUGAGCAGUGCCCUUUAUGUGAACAGCAUGGAGGGAGCGAUAUUAGCAUAUGAAUAAGCAACGGCU